rnacentral:lncRNA from 1 species
CAAAACCAUAUCGACUUCGUCGUUCCUUUUCAACUUUUCGGCUUUAUCAUUUUUAUGGAUCAGCCCUAACUUUCCUAAAUUAAGCUUCUCAUUACUGGUAAUAAAUCCAUGAACUUCUUUGAGAUUCCCAUUGCGGAUUUGGGUGCCCUUAUUGUGGAAUCGUUAUGGGUGUUUUUCAAGAGAAGGAUUUGUCGGUAUGUGUGAUUACCACGGCGGCGACAUUUGGGUGGUUCUAGAUGAGGUGUGGUGUGAUGGAGGUGGAUAUGGUGUUGUCAAUUGUGUUGUGGACUUGGGGUACUGGUGGUUGUAGAUGACGUCCAUGUGAUGAUGCGAUGGACGUGGAUGUACUCCUGGUGGUUUUGGUGGGGUGAUUUGCCGAUUUGAGGUGA